ensembl:lncRNA
AGUGGUAAAAUAUGUGGAGACACAUUCCAGAGAGCCUUUCUGGAGUGAACCUUUGCCCUGCAUGAGGUUGAGAGGCUUUGUGGUGUCCAGCCAUUCAAAUGUCCCGCUUGCAGUGCGUCCAUGCAUGCCAUCCCAGUGGAUGGAAACGUGAAGCUAUACAGGUUCCAUAAUGCACAUGGGUAUGUAUUUUAUUUUAUUUUUUGUACAUUUUAUUGUACUUCUUAACUGUCUACAUCAUGUUUCUCUUUUUCAAUAAAAUUAAGGACAGAGAAGGGCUACUUCGAUGGCACAUUCAUAAUGAAAGAUGAUGAUGUUUCCUCCUUUGUGGGAUAUGUUCAUGAAAAGACCAAGCAUGUAAUAACCCUUAACUUAUUUUCAUAUUGUAUAUUCCAGUCCAGCUACCAUUAUUGAAAUAUUAAUAAUAAUUUUUUAUCGUAUCUUGUAGGCCACAGGUAAAGGGGUGUGUGGCUCCUCUCAAUGGACAGCAGCCAAGGAGUCUUCUAAAAAGUCAGCAUCAAAGAUUGAUGAGGAAGUCCUUGAGAUUGCUGUGUGCCGACAUGGGGGACUUUUAAAAGGCCUAAAUAUGUUCAGAGGCGAAAUAUUUAAUUAUCCCCUGUUCCUUCAAAACACCCUCUCAAAAGAAUGUGUCAUUCUUCUGCUCGGAUGUCACCUGCAAGUACUGGCCAUACUUAAAGAGAGUGGUGGGACACUGUCCAGAGCUAAGGCCUUUAUUAAAUAUGCGCCCACUAUUAUCAGUUAUGCAUGCCAAAGCACAUGAAUGGAGUUGUGAGAUAAAAUGGUCUGGAAGAAACCAAGAGGGAGCUGGUCUUACUAUUGGAGAAGAGGUGGAGCAAGUCAACUCCUUCUUGUCGAGAGCUGCAAUCUGCACUAAAUAUAUGUCCAAAGCUGAUAUUUACUUUCACCAACUGUCUAAUAAUAGCAAGUUCAGACAUGCUCACUGUUCUUGCUUCUGCAUGGAACAAACGGAAAUCAGACAAUAUGGCUAAAUGUUUGUCUCAAAGAUACAUUAAGACAACUGAGAUGCUGAAAGUGGAAAGUGAGAGCUUUGCGAGUCUGCAGACUGAGCUUAAUGUCAGUGAUGAGGACAUUCAGCAGUGGGUCAGUGAUGUCCAGCAGUGGGCCACAGGUAAUGGCAACCUCUCAACCAAGAAGAUGGUCUUUGACCGCGUCAUGUUGCUUUCCCGACUAAAGGAGGAGGAGCAGAUCCUAGUGAUGGAGGUCAAGCAACACUGGCAAUCACUGAAGGAAGCUGAAUGUUCCCUGAGGGAUCUCUCAAUUCAAAUUCAAAAUAACAGUGAGCCAUAAUAAAAUUCAAUAACCAAUGAAUUGCUGAAAUUAAAACAUUUAGGAUUGAUUUUAUUUAUCCUCUUCAAUGUUGUCAUUCCUUUUGUGUGUAGACAGUGACUUUGAGCCAUCAGAGGAGAGCUCCAAUGGACUCCUGUGCCUUCUAAAGAGAAAACUGGAAGACCUUCAGUUUCUGCAAAAUAAUGCUAGGAUGUCAUACAGACAAUGUGUUCUGGGACAGGCAUCAGACAACAUUCUGUUUGAUAACAUUUCCGAUGAAGAAACUGAGACAGUAAACUACAGCUCUGAUGAAACAAACAGUGAUGAGGACUAAACCUAAGCAUGUAGAGUAGACAGAUACCGAAGAACUAUUUUUAGGUUCAGCAGUACAAGUUUUGACUAUUAUUUUUGAAUCUUUGAGCAUGUUUGUGCAUUUAAGACAAUAGUGCAAUUAUUAUAAACAGCCAUACAACCUCCAUCCCUAUUAAUUAUUUUCUAUUAUUUCCUUUAUCCUUCGCUCUAAUGGGACCAUGCAGAGUAAAUCUGUGUGGUGGGGUGGGGGGGUUUGCAGUGUAUACCUUUAUCUUACAUUGAUAGAAAGUAUGU